GGGAUAGAAUUCCAGGAGUAGCGGUGAAAUGCGUAGAUAUCUGGAGGAAUACCAAAGGCGAAGGCAGUCCCCUGGUCCGAUACUGACACUGAGGUACGAAAGCGUGGGGAGCAAACAGGAUUAGAUACCCUGGUAGUCCACGCCCUAAACGAUGUCGAUUAGCCAUUGGAAGGACCCCUUUUCCUUUCAGUGACGUAGCUAACGCGUUAAAUCGACCGCCUGGGAAGUACGACCGCAAGGUUAAAACUCAAAGGAAUUGACGGGGACCUGAACAAGCGGUGAAUGAUGUGGAUUAAUUCGAUGCUACGCGAAGAACCUUACCUACGUUUGACAUGGCCAAAGUUCUACCGAGAGGCGGAAGUACUCGUAAGAGGAUUGGCGCACAGGUGCUGCAUGGUUGUCGUCAGUUCGUGUCGUGAGAUGUUGGGUUCAGUCCCGCAACGAACGCAACCCUUAUCUUUAAUUGCUCCUAUUUUAACAGGCACUUUAAAGAAACUGCCAAUGAUAAGUUGGAGGAAGGUGGGGAUCACGUCAAGUCCGCAUGGCCUUUAUAGGUAGGGCUUCACACGUCAUACAAUGGUUAGAACAAAGAGCUGCAAAUUCGUAAGAAGGAGCCAAUCUCACAAACCUAACCUCAGUUCGAAUUGCGGUCUGCAACUCGAGCGCAUGAAGCCGGAAUCGCUAGUAAUCGUGGAUCAGAAUGCCACGGUGAAUACGUUCUUAGGUCUU
rnacentral:rRNA from 1 species